rnacentral:rRNA from 1 species
UACGUAGGGGGCUAGCGUUGCUCGGAAUUACUGGGCGUAAAGGGAGCGUAGGCGGACAUUUAAGUCAGAGGUGAAAUCCCGGAGCUUAACUUCGGAACUGCCUUUGAUACUGGAUGUCUUGAGUGUGAGAGAGGUAUGUGGAACUCCGAGUGUAGAGGUGAAAUUCGUAGAUAUUCGGAAGAACACCAGUGGCGAAGGCGACAUACUGGCUCAUUACUGACGCUGAGGCUCGAAAGCGUGGGGAGCAAACAGG